rnacentral:rRNA from 1 species
GACGAACGCUGGCGGCGUGCUUAACACAUGCAAGUCGAGCGGUAAGGCCCUUUCGGGGUACGACGAGCGGCGAACGGGUGAGUAACACGUGGGUGACCUGCCCUCAGCUCUGGGAUAAGCCUGGGAAACCGGGUCUAAUACUGGAUAUGACUCCAUGACGCAUGUUGUGGGGUGGAAAGCCUUGUGCGGCUGAGGAUGGGCCCGCGGCCUAUCAGCUUGUUGGUGGGGUGAGGCCUACCAAGGCGACGACGGGUAGCCGGCCUGAGAGGGCGACCGGCCACACUGGGACUGAGACACGGCCCAGACUCCUACGGGAGGCAGCAGUGGGGAAUCUUGCGCAAUGGGCGAAAGCCUGACGCAGCGACGCCGCGUGA